GUCCACGCUGUAAACGAUGAGAACUAGGUGUCGCGGGAGUUAACCCCUGCGGCGCCGUAGCUAACGCAUUAAGUUCUCCGCCUGGGGAGUACGGCCGCAAGGUUAAAACUCAAAGGAAUUGACGGGGGCCCGCACAAGCGGUGGAGAAUGUGGUUUAAUUCGACGCAACGCGAAGAACCUUACCUGGGCUUGACAUCUGCGGAAUCCUUCAGAGAUGAGGGAGUGCUCGCAAGAGAGCCGCAAGACAGGUGCUGCAUGGCUGUCGU
rnacentral:rRNA from 1 species